rnacentral:rRNA from 1 species
GAUGAACGCUGGCGGCGUGCCUAAUACAUGCCAGUCGAGCGAACAGACGAGGAGCUUGCUCCUCUGACGUUAGCGGCGGACGGGUGAGUAACACGUGGAUAACCUACCUAUAAGACUGGGAUAACUUCGUGAAACCGGAGCUAAUACCGGAUAAUAUAUUGCACCGCAUGGUUCAAUAGUGAAAGACGGUUUUGCUGUCACUUAUAGAUGGAUCCGCGCCGCAUUAGCUAGUUGGUAAGGUAACGGCUUACCAAGGCAACGAUGCGUAGCCGACCUGAGAGGGUGAUCGGCCACACUGGAACUGAGACACGGUCCAGACUCCUACGGGAGGCAGCAGUAGGGAAUCUUCCGCAAUGGGCGAAAGCCUGACGGAGCAACGCCGCGUGAGUGAUGAAGGUCUUCGGAUCGUAAAACUCUGUUAUUAGGGAAGAACAAAUGUGUAAGUAACUAUGCACGUCUUGACGGUACCUAAUCAGAAAGCCACGGCUAACUACGUG